GCUGAGGAUCACUUCCAGAGGCAGCUGCACUUUGCAUCACCUUUCUAUAGUUUUCUCUGAUAGUCUUUCUCCGCAAAUUCCCACAUUGCUAUUGACGCCAGGUCUUGAACACAAGCUCUGCAGAUGAAUCGAGAUGCUAAAUGAGUUCCAGCAUCCCUGCUUCUCUGCUGCAUGUACUCCAAGGACAGAUGGCAGAGGAAGACACCACCUGUCUGACAAAAGGCCAUUCCUGGUUCAUGCUCUGAAUGUCACGCUGAGUAGCCAUGACUGUUGCUGAGGACACACCAAUUGUUAUGUAAUGAUAGGUUCAGGUAAGGAUAAAAUGAAAACCAGAAGAAUGAAGAUAUUUGAAGCAAAGCUAAUAACUCAAAACUAUGAACAAUAGAAAAGGUCUUUCUUGAACUGUUUGCUCUUAAGCAAUAAGCAAGAUUUCAUGGAGACUCUCGUGAACUCAUCUUCUC
rnacentral:lncRNA from 1 species